rnacentral:rRNA from 1 species
CAAUAUGAAGGCCAGGCUGAAGACUUUGCCGGAUUAGCUGAGAGGUGGUGCAUGGCCGUCGUCAGUUCGUACUGUGAAGCGUCCUGUUAAGUCAGGCAACGAGCGAGACCCACGCCCACAGUUGCCAGCGUACUCUCUGGAGUGACGGGUACACUGUGGGGACCGCCGCUGCUAAAGCGGAGGAAGGAAUGGGCAACGGUAGGUCAGUAUGCCCCGAAUAUCCCGGGCUACACGCGAGCUACAAUGGUUGGUACAAUGGGUAUCUACCCCGAAAGGGGACGGGAAUCUCCUAAAACCAAUCUUAGUUCGGAUUGAGGGCUGCAACUCGCCCUCAUGAAGCUGGAAUCCGUAGUAAUCGCGUUUCAACAGAACGCGGUGAAUACGUCCCUGCUCCUU